rnacentral:rRNA from 1 species
CCUACGGGAGGCAGCAGUGGGGAAUAUUGGGCAAUGGGCGCAAGCCUGACCCAGCAACGCCGCGUGAAGGAAGAAGGCUUUCGGGUUGUAAACUUCUUUUAAGAGGGAAGAGCAGAAGACGGUACCUCUUGAAUAAGCCACGGCUAACUACGUGCCAGCAGCCGCGGUAAUACGUAGGUGGCAAGCGUUGUCCGGAUUUACUGGGUGUAAAGGGCGUGCAGCCGGGAAGACAAGUCAGAUGUGAAAUCCCGCGGCUCAACCGCGGAACUGCAUUUGAAACUGUUGGACUAGAGACGGCGAGAAGUACGCGGAAUGCGCGGUGUAGCGGUGAAAUGCAUAGAUAUCGCGCAGAACUCCGAUUGCGAAGGCAGCGUACCGGCGCCGGACUGACGCUGAGGCACGAAAGCGUGGGUAUCGAACAGGAUUAGAUACCUGGGUAGUC